GGGUUCUGCUCUUCUGUACACAGGGUCACUAGGAGUCUGAAUCGACUCCAGGGCACUAACGACAACAAAAGUAUAUUUGGAUAUGACUGAAAGUGUCAGUGUGUGACCUUUAGCACUUUUAACCCUGAUUCCAUUUACACUGUCUACUGCACGGAAAGUGUGAGGAGAGCAAAUCGUUAUUUGCUGUUCUGUUUCCUGACUUUAUCGUUGAAACAAUAUGUCAAUCAAAGUAAGAGGUACCUUCUUAGAUUAUUCAUCGACUGAAGAUGAGAAAACUGAGGCCAAGGUCAUACAGAAAUGGGAGCCACCUCUGGAAAUCCAGGCCAGAGCCCCCACUUUCAACCACUGCCCUGCACUGCACUGCUGCUGAUAUAUUAGGUACUCAAUAAAAGAUAAAUGAAUGCACAACUGGACCAUGAUAUAAGGCAGUAUGUGGUGGUAACUGGAAGGUGGGAGCUCAUCAGUAGCGUCUUCCUCUACCCGGCGUCUUAAUCAUCCUCUGAGGGAGACAGAGAGAGAGAAAGAGAAGAGGAAGAAGAGAGAAAAAUGAAGAGCAAUGGGGUGUGAUCCUUCCCAUGAAACUAUCCCCAAAUCCUUCUAAAGGUUCUAAACUCAAAAAAUGUUUGAGUGUGAGUUGAUUUUUGUAGGAACCAGUGAACAGAUUGGGCUUCCUGCCUGGAUUGAUGUGUAGGAGCAUAAAGGCAGAAGCCCAAGGAAACCAGUCCUGUGCGCUCACAAGAAUCGUGAGGAGGACUUUGCCUUUUACAAUCCUAUAGAAUUUGGGUUUGUCCAAGCUUAAACAGAUCUCUAAGUUCUCUGUUUGACAUCUGUGUUUCGUUUUGGGGUCCCGUCCAGUAUCGUUUGAAUUAAGGAGCAGAGCUGAACCAGGAGUACAGCCUUAUAAUGACUUCCAAACUGUGGGGUGCCCUGUGCAGGGAGAUUAGGGGUUUGUUGGAUUGGCUGAAAAUCUUGAUGAUUUUGGAAAUUCCAUUUAAAUUUAGAGUAAAGUUGUAGAAGCCAUUCUGAGAUAGGCAAUACAGCCUUUGGGGAAAACGCUCUGUUUAAUGUUGGCUGUUCAGAAAAAAGCCAGGUAUACGCUGAAUCAUAAACAAGAAGGGUGGUAACUUCUGUCAAUAUAAGAGACAUAAAAACAGACAUAGGAUUUCCUGGUAUGCAAUGUGGUUUUGUUAAUGGAGAGAAGAGACAUUUUGUGGCAAACUCCUACUAGCAGGAAAAACCAUGGCUUUUCCAGAAAUUAAGGUCAGGAAAUGGGAAAGAAGCCAGAGAGGAUAACUACUCCAGCGCCAUGAGCAAAGGUGCUCAUAUAAACGCCUAAGCUUUUCUUAUCUGUAGAUGAGGCCCUAGAGGGAGGAGCUGCAGAGGGCAGCGUGCCCACUUAACAAUAUCCCUUCCAGGGUGGUCUCUGACCCUGAGGGUGAAGAAAAUGUGGCACAAGGUUCAGACUGGGAGUUUUACCCCCUUCCUGGGGCUCCUUUAAGCCUAGUGUUGUUGACUAUGUUAACGAUAGUGCUCCAUUCACAGACUUCCAUCUAGGUUCUUUGGAGACCUCUGCUGUCGGAAAGGAGCUUGUCUGGUUCAGCCGUGUGGGAGAGACCCCUCAAAUAAAUGAAUGAAGAGGUCAAGCUGGAAAAGGAUUCCUACAGGACCCAGGCCCGGAUUUCUCUAAGGCCAUAGGAGAAGGAUGGGAGAAGUUAGGGCUAUGGAGUGAAGAAGGUCUGUGGUAUGGAGGGGAAUUGAGUGCCAAGUAAUAACCAUGCACUGUCUUCUCUUUACCUUUUCUUUUGGGGGGAACUUGGAAGAAGUUGUGAAAGACUGCUAAUAUUCUCUUCUCACUUUCACUUAGGGGAAAUUUUAAUAACAUAGAGAAAAUUGCAUUCAUUAGAAUUCACUUAGAUGGACAAAUGUCCUAUACAGGAAAGUGCUUGGGGUAUAGAUUGAAAUUCCAAGGAUGUGGAUGGCACUCUUUUAAGCUAGAUAACUUUCUCACUUCUUGGAGGAGAGGAAAGGAGAGACUGGUACUAGUGGACCCACCUGAAUGAUGGAAGGUCGCAAACUCUAUCAUGCAAUCUCUCUUCAUGCCUGUCUAAAUUUGUAAUCAAGGUAAAAAAUUCAAGAAAUGCUUGAGCAUGAGUGGAUUUUUGGUGGAAGCCAAUGAGGAGGUUCCGUGUUGAACUAUGGGAGUGCAUGCAUGGGAGAACAGGAAGCCAGAGAGGAGGAUGAGAAACUUGGACAUCACUGGAGUGUUCUGCGCUCUCAGAGUCUGCAUAAUUGGCAACUAAGUUUAACUAGAUCUAUGAUGGGGUGUGUGUGUGGUCACCUAGCUGAGUAAAAGGAGUCAUAUCUUCCUGGGAAUCUUCCUGCCUCAGGACUGUAUGUUCCCUUGGCAGGACUUUACAUACUGUAUUGUAAUUACAGUCCUGCUGACUACCUUUUUUUUUUCCCAAACACAGACACUUCUAAUCCCCUCAGCUAUCACUGUUCCCUCAUUCAAAGGCUCCCUUGUCUCUUUGUUUCCAUAGGAGGUCCAUGUAGAUAAGGCAAUAAUCCUUUCCAAUAAUUCUUUUUUUUUGAGGAAGAUCAGCCCUGAGCUAACAUCUUCUGCCAAUCCUCCUCUUUUUGUUGAGGAAGACUGGCCCUGAGCUAACAUCCGUGCCCAUCUUCCUCUACUUUAUAUGUGGGAUGCCUGCCACAGCAUGGCUUGAUGAGUGGUGCUGUGUCCGCACCCAGGAUCUGAACCAGUGAACCCCAGGCCGCCGAAGCGGAAUGUGCGAACUUAACUGCUGCGCCACUGGGCCGGCCCCCCCUUUCCAAUAAUUCUAACCUUGUCCCCAUCAGAUGUAUCUAAUAAGACCUAAAAGAAAAAGGAGGGGAACGCCCUUGUGAAUCCCAUGUGACCACCAUAUUCUUUUCUGCCUCACAUCUUGGUUUAUCUUAGCCUCCUGCCUAAAUGCCGUCCUUCCAUCUAAGUCUGAUCCAUCCUUCAAGCCCUAGCUAACAGCACACCUUCUGCCGAACCUUUCUCUGCUCCUUGCAGUCCUUACUGAUCUCCUUUCUAGCAUUGACCUUGUCUCUCUAACUCCAUUGCAUCCUCUGAGGAUGAGGCAUGUUUUUACUUCUGAAAACCCCACAUGCCUAGCACAAUGCUGAGGGCAUAGUAAGCAUUUCAUUUAAACGCGUUUAUUGCUAGCUUUGUGCAAGUGUGGUCUACUGAUUAAAAAUGCAAGCCCCUAGAGGGUAGGGCCUAGGACUUGCAGGUGUUUUUUUAACAGGGCUUCACACGUUUUAGUCUGUUUGACUCUAUUGAAAAAUGAGGACUAUGAGAGUGCAAAAAGCCUCAUUGAAAGUCCCCAUAGGAUGCAUGCUUGCUCCAGUACGUUAUGAUGGAUGUGACACAGCAAUGAGCUGCUCUGUAGGUGUACUUCCAAAGGCCAGGCACGCCAGGAGAACAAUCAUUACCUACUGAGAUUUUAACUGAUUUCCCUUUGUGCAAAUAUUUCUGUAACACUUCUUAAAGGACCCAACGUCUUGACUUUGAAUUCAUCCUGAAUUGAAUAAUGAAUUAUUAUUACUACGAAAGAAGAGCAAAGUAUAAGUAGAAAAUCAGCAACCAUGGGUCCGUAGUAAGACUAGAAAAAUGAAGUUAAGCCAGAGUGUCUUUACUCACUCAAAGAGCUCAUACCUUUCUUAGAGCCUUGUGUUAUUAAUAAUAAUAAUAAAAAACUUUGUCAGCUACUUGGAUCUGGAGAGCAUUCCAAGACCAACAGAAAUCGUUUCAGGGAGCCAAGUCUCAGGGUUUGCAUAAUUGCUAAACACUGUACUUCUCAACUUUCAUAAGACAAACCUAUCCUCAAAAUUUAUUUAUGAGAUGAAUAAUUGAGCCUGAAAAUUUGAUUCUGACAUUUCCUGUCCCUAUUGUGGACCUCUGAAGAGUUGGCUUAAUCACGUUUUCAGUAGUGUCCAAGAAUGACAUUCUUCUGACUCCUUUUAGGCAGAGACUUUUUAGCAUAAGUGAUUGCCUCAGUUUUGCUAACCAUUUCCUUCGGGGCAUGCAAUUGUGCCUCUUUCACUUGUGGAGUAGGUCCUGCAGAAACGGAGGAAUCACAUCCCUCCCCCGGUCUUCCUCCAGGCCAUCAAUACCAUGGAAGAUUUGACUGCAUCAAAAGCCUUUAUGGAUCAUAGACAAAGGAUAUUCCUUUUCAUCCCUGCAAAAGUUAUCUUGCUCAGGGAGUCACAUAGAGAAGGGUUGUGUGAGGCAGGAAUGAACUGACUCAUUGGUAUAUCUCCCGUGAACUCUCUGGAUUGCUUUAGAGGGAUGAAACUGAGCAGUUGAACGACUGUCUGAAUUCCGAGGCAGGGAACCGGCUUAAGAACAGCAAACACAAUUUGGGCCUGCAUAAAAUAAGGGGCUUUCUAGGGGAUCAGAAGAAACCUGUUUUGCACAGGUGUUACUCUAAUUGUGAUCCAGAGCUAAGGAGAAUUUCACAGUGGUUCCUGCAUUGAGACCACAGCUGUUAUAACUCGAGCCCCUCCCCACCCAGUGUGGUGGUCUUGCACUGUUGCAUAGGUCCAUAAUAGGAUGCACAUAGACAGAUAAAGCAAGAUGUGAAGAUUCGUGCCUGGUUCCAGUGAGUGGGGGUAGCUUUGCAUCCAUAGUUAGGUUUCGGUCUGUUUAAUAGGCCUUUGGAGAGGCAAAUGUACAGACUGAAAACUUCUGAUGUAUAGAGCCACUUGCUGUAGCCGUUACCGAGUGAAGAUUGCACGUGCUUUUAUUUUAAGUUAAAGUGGAAGGCAAAAGUAAAGAAAACAACUUUUGGUGUUCUAGAGACUGACACCCAGGUCAACAGGAUAAAAGUUUCUGUUAAUAGGGUUUUUUGGUAUUAUCACUCUUGAAAGGUGGUUUGGUCCUGAACGUUAGUAAGUCUUUUCGAUACAAAAUGUUAUCUACUAUAUUCGAUUCUUGGGGUAAGAAUAGAGAGUGUCCAUUCCUUUUUGCUAGUGGAUUCACUUGAUUAUACAUGGGUCAUUUAGUAGUCUUCUUUUAAGCUGGUGGGGGUGGGUUUCCUUGGGGGUUGUCAUUCUGUACAGUGUUGGCACAAUAUUAUGAAAUAUGGGACCCAGUAGAGUAGACCAGUUUUUAAGAUCGAGUGUUUGGUUUGCUGCAGUUUCUGGGAUGAGCAAUUAAGGUACUUAAUCUCUGUAAAAUUAACAUUUAAAAAAAUAUCAACAACAAAUAACUUUUCCUUGGUUAUUCAGAACUCCUUAUUGAACUAUCAGUGUGAGUGCUUUUUAAUUUUGAAAAUCUCGUCACCCUAUCCUAGGUGGCGUAGCUCCAGUCUUAGACUGUCUGUCUUGGGCAUGCUUACCUCCCCCAUUUUCUACAGAGCUUUUAUUUUCUUGCUCAACUCUGUAUAAAUUGCUUUAUAGUCACUUUCCCGCAUAGCUAUAUAUCAGUGCUUUUUCCUUCCUGUUCUUGUAGCACCUUAUAUAUUUUAUUGGUAAAGAGAUUGUAAAUUCUUCAAGGUUAGGAGCUGUUGUAUACUUAUAGCUGUAUCUCUAUAAUCUGAGUAUAUUUAUUAAUUCAAAGAUUAUUCCUCACCUCUUUCGCAAGCUUUUGUUUUUUUCUUAAUAUGCCCUCUUUUCACCAUCUCGCUGAGAGACAUACUUUGUUAAUAACUUUAAUUCAGUGGUUCUCAACCUUAGCUACAUAUUGGGAUCAUGUGGAGAGAUUUAAAAAGUGCUGAUACCUGGAUCCCAUCCCUAGGAAUUCUGAUUUAAUUGUCUGUAGUGUGGCCUGGGCUUUGGGGUUUUGUAAACCCUCCCUAGGUGAUUCUAACAUCCGGCCAAGGUUAAGGGCCACUGCACUAGUGCCCUAUCACUUCCAAUCAUGGGUUUACUUGGUUUUGCAUUCUCUGCAAAUGUGUAGCACCUUAAUCUUUUGCAUAUUUACUUAAAAUGAUGAUGAUAAUAGUAAUGAACAGUUAUUGAACACUUCUUCUAUGCCACUUCUUCUAAACACUUUACAAUUUAUUUACUUUCACAAAAAUAAUAAGAGAUAAGAAAUAGUGUUACUCACAUUUUAUAGAAGAAGAAAUUUAGGCAUAGAGAGGUUAAGUAAAUUGCCCCAAGUCACAUAGCUAGUGAUUGACAGAUCUGAGAUUUAUACGUAGGCCGUUGAACUCCAGAGCCCAUAUUCCCAAUUGCAACAUCAUGCUGUUGUCUGUUACACCUUCUUCUUGGGGCAGUGACUCCUGAUUAAUGGAAAUUUCCAAAAAAAACCCUGCUCUCCAGUCACAUAGCAUUUCCCCUGUUGCCUUCGUCUAUACAGCUCUGCACUGAGUGAUAUGAUGAGGAAGAAAUUUCUUCUAAAAAGGGAAUAGACAGAUCAAAGUAUACAAGAAAACACGCCACAGAGCCAUGGAAACAUCUAAUCCAGUGUAUUCAAUCCUGGCGCUAUUGACCAGUUGCGUCCCCCUCCAAUUGUGACAAUCAAAAAUGUUUCCAGACAUUGCCUAAUAUCCCUUCACUGAGAACGACUAUUCUAAUCAAGCGUCUUUCAAACGAGUAUUAGUAAUUAAACUUAAAGUAAUAAGAUGUUUUGAUUGAUGGCGACAACUUUUUUCAAAACAAACAUAUCAUAAUUUAUUUAUUCAAAUAGGUAUUUCUUUCCAAGUAACCAACUUGGAAGACUACACUCUUAUUCCAACAAUGCUGCUAUUGUUAAAACAUUUUAAAAAUUGUCUUCAGAUCUUGUAGUACAAUUUUUAAAUAUUAUCCUGUAUAAUGAAUCAUCCUUUAGUGGUGGGUUUAAUAUUUAGAAAGGUCUAAAAUAUAUUUAGAGACAAGUAUGGUGAGCAACGUAUGUUGAAGAAGAUAAGCUGUAGAGUUUUUUGUAACUUCAGCAACAUGGUCUUUCUUAUAUGGCUCCUAAACUGUCUUUGACAGCCUUUAAACAAGAGGGGUUCAAACUAAUGUUCUGAUUAGGGUGCUCUUUGUAGAAGUCCUUCCGGAGCUUCUCCCUUGCAGCACAAUGCUAUAUAAUACUAUUGUAUAAUGCUUAUUUUGGUUUAAAAAUAAAUUUUAUUUUCUAAGCAUCACAUAUCAUGCGUAUACUAAGAAUUUUCAUGUGUGAGCAAGUCCCAGUACCAGAGAAAAGUGGGAAGGCUUCCUAAACGGAGUUAGUUUUGAAAGAGGGAAAAGCCAAGGACGGCCUGAGACAAGUUGGGGAAACCAUCCAGAUAUGGGCAGUAGUCUGUGCAAAGCUUGGAGAUGGGAAGGAGUUAGCUGUGAGUUAGGGAUGGUAGGCAGGUGCACUUAACUAGAUUGGAGAGUCUGAGUCUAGGACUGUAGGUCUCAAUCCUGGCCAUGUAUCAGCAUCACCUGAGAAGUUAAAGAAAAAAGUGAUAGCUGCUUGAGUGCCACACUGGACCUAUUAAAUAAGAUUCUCUGGGGGUGGCGCCUUGAGCCUCCGUGUUUUGUUUUGAAAAUCUUCGCAAGCCAUCUUAAUGCAUAGACAUGUUUGAGAAUCAAUUUAAUAAGACAUAAACUUGAUUGAGUAAAGAGAGCCUGCAAUUCACGUUUUCCAUGACUCACAAAGCAAUAGUGGGCCAGAUUAGGCUUCUGAGCAGAGGAGUAAUAACCUCACGCAGUUGUGUAGAUACCAAGAUGACGAUACUGAUUUAAUAUCAGAAAAUCCAAAGGUCUCUGGUUUUUAGCUUGAAGUUAAAUAGCUUGUCCAUGUUCAUCUAGCCAGUAAGUGCAAAGCGAAGGCAUAGUCCCCAAGCCUUUUGAUUUCAUUUCAGUGUGCACAGGGGAGGACCAGAGAAAGAAUUAGGGAAUUUGUUGAGUGCAGGAGUGGGAGAGAGGUUAGAAUAAUAUGGAAGGUGUCCAUAAAUUGAGAGAGCCUUAGAGAGCAGGAGGGGAGAAAACUGAAGAUUGAACACCCACCAUGCGCCAGGCUAUGUCUCAUUAAAUCUUCCCAAUACCCCAACAGGGUAGUAGUGGGGCACACAAGGAUACUGAGGCUCAGAGUGGUCAAUAACUUGCCUAACGUCACGCAGAUAGGAACUGAGAUUCAGACCCAGUCUAGGUCUGUCAACCUCAGAGCUCACAUUCUUUUUACUAGCCCCUUUGGUCCUUUGUCUGACAGCAGUGGUUCUUCACCAAGGGCAGUUUCGCACCCAAGGGACAUUUGGCCAUGUCUGGAGACAUUUUGGGUUGUCACAGUUGUGGGGUAGGUGGGGGGUGCUACUGGUAUCUAGUGGGUUGAGGCCAGAUAUGCUGCUCAACAAUGCACAGGACAGCCCCACUGAAUUAUCCAGCUCAAAAUGGCAAUAGUGUUGAGGUUGACAAACCUUGACCUAGAACGAUGGUUGUAGCUCAGGAAGUUGGAAAUGAAAGACAAGUUUAUGGGUAAGAUGAUGAAGUGGCUUCAAACAUUCAUGUAAUAGUUAGAUGUUCCGUUAAAUCUAGCUGUGUCUCAUUUCCUUCCCCUUGAGAGUCGCUUGAGGCUGAGGCGUUGCUGACUACAUAGUAAUCUAGUAUCUGAACUUCUCAUGCCUUAACUGCUUCUUUACCUGAGCCCUCCUUCAAGACCCCCAGAUGGGUUUACCACAAGAACAACAGCCUUUGUGCCAGUUGCUAACCACCUGUUAAGGCGAGGAGGCUUUCCCCCCUCAUUUUUUUCUUUCUUUUUUCUCCUGGUUUUAUUAUUAUUAUUAUUUUUCUUUUUUAUGGCCCAUUGAGUUCUUGGCAGAUCUGUUAGACAUUUGCUCCAAGUUUCUCUUUUGGGGCCUUUUGUUAGAAGGAGGUGGAUCCUUGUUUACUAGGACCUGAGUGGAAACAUCCAAGCCCAGAGGCCACAAUAAGGCAGCCAUUUUUAGUCACUUUCCACCUGGGCUGAAUCUGAGCCAGAAGAUAAGAGGCAAAACAUAUUCCAUUGUCAGGCCCCUAAGCCAUCUACUCCCCUGAUUUCUCCCAUGAAUACUCUUGUUCCAACGCCAGCAAGCCCACAUACUCUGUUUGUGGUGGCUUGGAGCCAAAAUCCAGGUGUGAUAUUCCAAAGCAUUCUUGUAGAGGAGUUUUCAUCUGGUAUUUUGUUUACCUGCAUUUUUGGCCAGUCUCAACCUUUUGGGAGCCAAAAGCUUACAGAACUGUAACAUUUCUAGCUCUUACCACACCUGUCUACAAAAUAUGCGUGAAUACAGACUUUACACAAUGUGCCUGUGGCCUUUGGUGACCCCUUCAUUACCUUUAUCUUGCUUCAGGAAAUUUCAAGAGACUGUGGAAACGCCUCCUGUCUAGCUACUGCUCAAUGGAAAUCUGGUACCCUCACAAAGUGCUCUGAGGUCCUUGGCAGGAAAAAAGGCACUCUGUAAAAUCAUGAUAUGUUGUUCUUGGGACUACUUCCUAUUUUUUAAUACAAGACGCUUCUUGAAUGUUCAUCUUAAGGUAGCCCUGGAGGAAAACCAUAAUAAAUAUACUAUGCUGUAAAUGAGUCCUGCCACUCUAUCCAUUCUAGGAAAAGACCUAAAAAUAAUCUAGAUUUGGAUUUUGGUGC
rnacentral:lncRNA from 1 species